rnacentral:rRNA from 1 species
CCAAAAACACCGCCUUGAAAAAAUCAAAGGUGUCAACCUGCCCAAUGAUUUUAAAUUUCAUAAGAAUAAUCUUUUAUAAUAAAAUUUAAAGGACGCAGUAACCUGACUGUGGUAAUGUAGCAUAAUCAUUCGCCAUUUAAUUGAUGGAUAGUAUGAAUGGUUGAACGAAUUCUUCACUGUCUUAAAAAGAGAAAUCAUGAAAUUAAAAUAAUAGUUAAGAUGCUAUUUACUAUUGUAAGACGAAAAGACCCUAUAGAGCUUAACUACAAAUUUUUUAAUAAAAAGAAAUUUUUAAAAUUCUAAAACAAAAAGUUGGGUAGUUUAGUUGGGGCGACUAUCUUCUAAAAUUAACGAAGACAAGCAACAUUAAUAAUUAAUUUAUUGUAUAAUCCAUAAAUUUAACAAUUACAAAAGUAGGCUAUAAUGACCCGUUAUAAUCUAAUAAUAGAAAUAACGAUCAAUAAAUAAAAGCUACCUUAGGGAUAACAGGAUAAUUUUGUUCUAGAGAUCUUAUCGAAAACAAAGUUUGUCACCUCUAUGUUGAAUUAAGAUAUCCUGAUAGUGCAGAAGCUAUCAAAGGUAGGUCUGUUCGACCUUU